GUAAGUUGAGUCUGCCUUCCUUGUGGAAAUUCUGAAACUCUUGGAACUUAAUCUAUUAGUGACUGCUCCUGUAAAACAUCCUGAGGUUUUUAAAUUGAAAUUUUAGUAGUUGUCAAUUGAGGCACUUUAUUUUGUGUGUGGUGAUGGGGAUCAAAUCCAGGGUCUUACACAUAUGCUGACAUGUUACACCACCGAGCUACACCCUCAGCUCCCUGAUUACCACCCCCCCACCCCCGUACUGGGAAUUGAACCUAGGGAAUACUGAGUGAAGUCCCCAGCCCUUUUGAAAAAUUUUUGAACUUGUGAUCCUUUGGCCUCUGUCUCCUGUGUAGAUAGGGUUACAGGGUUGCACCUCCAUGGCCCCCGAUUAACUUUUAAAGAUGAAAGUGUUGUGGUUUAGGGAAAGACCUCAGUGGGACGCUUUUGCUGGGGAAGGCACUUCUCUGAGAUGAGAAGGAGGAGUAGGCCUGGGUAUAAACCUGUGGUAGAGCACCUGGCUAGCAUGUGUAAGGCCCUUGGUUCCAUUCCCAACACCACCAGGAAGAAAGAGCAAGAAAAAAAGGAAGGAAGGAAAGAAAGAAAGAAAUUUAAAGCAUAAGAAGACAGUGAGUGUGUGUGUGUGCGUAGGAGAGAGAGGGAGAAUUUCCCCAUAGGGUACCAAGGAGGCUGGAGCAUACCAAGAGAGUGGGGAAGAGGGCAUGAUGUUUAAAAAUAGCUUUAUUAAGAUGUAAUUUACUUAACAGGCAAUUCACUUUUUUCCCCAGUACUGAGGAUUGAACCCAGGGGCUGCAUAUUGAGCUACUUCCCCUCCCUUUUCAUUUUUAUUCUUUCAUUUAUUUAUUUUUUUUAUUUUUUUGAGACAAGGUCUUGCUAAAUGACUAAGUUGCUCAGCCUGGGUUUGAACUUGUGAUCCUCCUGCCUCAGCCUUCCAGAGUGGUGGGAUUAUAGGUGUGUACCAUUCACAUUUAAAAAGCACAAUUCAGUGGCUUGGAGUAUAUUAACAGAAUUGUGCAGCCAUCAUCAAUAAAUUUUAGAAUGUUUUCAUCACCUCAAAAAGAAGGCCCAUGCCCUUUAGCAGUCAUCCUGCCCACCCCAAUCUUCCAUUGCCGCCAACCCUAAGCAACCAUGAAUCUACUUCCUGUCUCUGUGAAUUUGCUUUUUCUGAACAUUUCCUAUAAAUGGGAUCAAACAGCCUUGGGUCCUUUGGGUCCGGCUUCUUAUUUAGGGUCUGAUAUUGCCAGGGUCCGGCCAUGUUGUAGCAUGUAUGAGGACUUCUUUCUUUUUCAUGACUGAGCAUCAACCUAACGUAUGGAUGGACGGACCAUAUUUUGUUUCUCCAUUUGGCAACUGAUGGGCUGUUUCUACUCUGGGGCUAUUAGGAAUAAUGCAGCUAUGAGUAUUCACGUAUGUUCUUGUGCAGACGUACAUUUCUGUUGGGCAUAUAGCUCAGAGUGGACAUGCUGGGUCAUGCAACAGCUCAAUGUUUAACGUUUGGUGGAACCACCUCUUUCAACUUUGUAUUUGGGACAUUUCCCACUGUACUUGAGAGUAGAGAAACUUUCGUAAUGUGCACCAGGUACCCAUUGUCCAGAUUCGACAAUGAUCAGCCUUUUGCCUAUCUUUUUCCCUCUGCCUUCUCUCUUCCUUUGUCUCCCACUGAGUAUCUUAUUCAGGCACUGCAUUUCAUGUUGUCCCAGCUGAGAGGCCAACAUUUUCUUUUAUCCCAAACCUUCAUUUGGAGUAGCCCAUAGCCACAUUCUUGUGUGAAUGGAAUUUGGGGGAAUGGAGGAGUUGGUCAGACUCCAGAGUGGUCAUGGUGUGGGAGGGGAGCAGCCCCUGAGUGAGGCAGGAUUAGCUAUACAAUUUGCAGGAUCUGGGUGAAAGGAACAUGUGGAACUCUUUGUUAAGAAGUUAAAGAUGGCAGAGCAUUAAAUCAAGCAUGGGCCUCAUGUAGCUGUAUAGGUUCUCUGCCCAUGAUGUCAGCCCAGCCCUUCAACCAGCGAAAAGGUGCCCAAGCAGAACUGGUUCAGCAGAUGCAGCAAUUUAGAACCUUGGAUACUGGGAGCAACAUAAACACCCCUCACCCUCAAUCUCUGGGAAGGUUCCAAGGGAAGUUGGGAAUGGUGUAGCAUAUGGGGCAAGAUGUAAACCCAUUUCAUUUUAAUCUCCAAAAAUAAGAUGACCCCAGCUGACAUGGGGGUUAUAAGCACUUAAAACAAUAAUCGUUUGUUGUAUGCCUUCUUCCUUGAGAGCUCACGGUUGUUUUAUUUGGCCACUCCAUUUUGUCCUGGGUUCUGAGUGUACUCUGAUAUCCCUGCAAAAGAUAGGGCUGCAGUCUUAAGAGCAGACACCCGCUGGGUUCCAAACAGCCCAGAGCUGUAGGGACCCAGGGUGCCCAACAGUAGCAGGUGGCCAUGGUAGACAUGGCUGCCAUUGAUGGCAACCAGUUCCUCCCAGCUCAGACACAGUUCCCACCAACCCAGGUGCCUCCUACUCCGUGUUUACCUAGGCUCAGCCCAAGGAUUCAUAAUCUUCUCCAACACCAAAGAUCCAGAGCCCCCUGUAUGGUUCAGGAUGAUGCCAGGGUGCAUUAUAUCAAGUGUCUUGUCAUGAAAGGGUAUACAGUACACGGCAAAAGGUGCCAGGGGUGGGCCUUGGUGAGAACAGGAAGGACAGCAUAGCUCUCCUGUUGGCCAAGGGGAGUUCACUCAUUCGUUCAGCCACUUGCUACCUACUGCACUUAAGGGCCUAUGGACUGGGCAAAAGCAAAACAGCAAUCAGCUGGGUAGACCUCUUCCACCACUCCACUGUCCUGACAAGCAGAAGGGCACAGUGUGGCAGGGGAAGCGGAUUCCCAGUGAGAGAUCUGCCAGAAAUGUUGGUGAAUGAAAUGUGGAUGGAUGGCAUCAAGGCCAGAGGAUGCAAAAGGCCCUAGUUUUGAUAAAAAAAAGAAAAAAAAGAAAAAGAAAAAGCCAGCUUGGCUUGGCACCCUCCUUCCUGCCAGUCAGGGGACUGCAAAGCUGUUUCCAGAGCGCGGCUGAUGAAUUGAGGGAGGAGCAACAGGACAGUGCCAGUCGCCUCUCAGGGCUGCGCUAACAUAAAACCAAACAACUUGAAACUGUUCCAAGGGAGCGGAUUAAGGCAACAUGUUAUUCUGAGUGAUUGCUUAAUUUAUUGAGCUGCGGCUAGAUCUGUAAUGAAAUACAGCCCUUGUAACUGAUCACCUCCUACUGCAAUUGGACUUCUACAAUUAAGGGAUAUUUUCCCAGAGUUUCUCUCGAAGUGCCUGGAAUUUGUGGCCUCUGUGGUGGGGU
rnacentral:lncRNA from 1 species